rnacentral:rRNA from 1 species
AAUGGGCGGAAGCCUGAACCAGCCAUGCCGCGUGCAGGAAGACGGCCCUACGGGUUGUAAACUGCUUUUCCGGGGGAAGAAUAAGGCCCACGUGUGGGCCGAUGCCGGUACCCCGGGAAUAAGGAUCGGCUAACUCCGUGCCAGCAGCCGCGGUAAUACGGAGGAUCCGAGCGUUAUCCGGAUUUACUGGGUUUAAAGGGUGCGUAGGCGGGCGCUUAAGUCAGCGGUGAAAUGCGGGGGCUCAACCUUCGAACGGCCGUUGAUACUGGGCGCCUUGGAUUCGGUCGAGGCGGGCGGAAUGCGACAUGUAGCGGUGAAAUGCUUAGAUAUGUCGCAGAACGCCGAUUGCGAAGGCAGCUCGCCGGGCCGAUAUUGACGCUGAGGCACGAAAGCGUGGGGAUCGAA